UACAACGGGAUACCGAGGGGAAACUUCGGUUAAUACGGUAUAAGACCACACUACCGCAUGGUAGAGGGGUAAAAGGGGCAACCUGGUAUGAGAUGGACUCGCGUCGCAUUAGCUAGUUGGUGAGGUAACGGCCCACCAAGGCGACGAUGCGUAGCCGACCUGAGAGGGUGAUCGGCCACAUUGGGACUGAGAUACGGCCCAGACUCCUACGGGAGGCAGCAGUGGGGAAUAUUGGGCAAUGGAGGAAACUCUGACCCAGCAAUGCCGCGUGAAUGAAGAAGGUCUUCGGAUUGUAAAGUUCUUUAGUCAGGGAAGAAGUCAAUGACGGUACCUGAAGAAUAAGCUCCGGCUAACUACGUGCCAGCAGCCGCGGUAAUACGUAGGGAGCAAGCGUUGUUCGGAAUGACUGGGCGUAAAGGGUGCGUAGGCGGUUGUACAAGUUAGAAGUGAAAUACCCAGGGCUUAACUCGGGUGCUGCUUCUAAAACUGUAUGACUUGAGUGCAGUAGAGGUUAGUGGAAUUCCUAGUGUAGCGGUGGAAUGCGUAGAUAUUAGGAGGAACACCAGAGGCGAAGGCGGCUAACUGGACUGCAACUGACGCUGAGGCACGAAAGUGUGGGGAGCAAACAGGAUUAGAUACCCUGGUAGUCCACACUGUAAACGAUGGAUACUAGAUGUAGGAGGUAUCGACUCCUUCUGCGUCGCAG
rnacentral:rRNA from 1 species